GUGCCAAAGAUCGUGAGAUGCAUCCACGGAAGCGUGGAGUGCAUCAGCACGGCACCAGCCCGGCAGAGACUGGACAUACUCAUCCUCUGGCUGACCAACCAGUGGCCAAUGAAGGUGGUCAGGAGCCUGCUGAAGAUCUCGCCGUCGUCUGACAGGUACUGGCAUGCCAACCUUAAGGGCUUCUUGUAUGGGAGGGGAGGGGACAGGAGACUUUCUGCCUGACGGAUCCACAGAAAACUCCACGCUACGUUUACAGAGCAGGGCCCUCCAUGCCGCCACGCUUUCCAGCCGUGGUUCCUUGGCCACAGCCAGGGCAGCCAGAGCUGACCAGGCCAGCCAGGAUCCCCGCCACCACGCUCCCUGCCCGCCCCACAUGAAUGUCAUCCCUGCCCUCUCCUGCUUGCCCAGCCAGGGCUCUCGGGGCACCCCAAGUGAGGGGGGCGGCAGGGCCAGGGCUGCAGGACAGCCUGGGGCCUGCGGGGCCUGUGCAGGCCAUGGCGCCGUGGCGGAGCGUGCCCUGCUGACUGAGUGCUCUGUCCUUGCAGCGCUGCCCUGGCCAUGUGGGAAGCAAUGUUUUCCCACAACCAGACUAUGGAGAAGGUCCUGAGGGAGACACUUGACGUGCUCCAGGACCAGCAGCUGCGCAGGCUCCCUGGCCUCAUCACAGACGACAACUGCAUCCGUCACUUGGCGGUGAGUUACCGGGCGAGGCCUUGCUCCUCUUCAGGGCCGUGCGUGUGCCUCUGCCCAUCUACCCCCAAACUGGCAGCUCCUCCAGGACGUACGUGCAGGAGGAGCAGGCAAAGAAAGGCUGCUGGGUGCUGCCAGGCACGGGGCACUCGGGGGCCCUGCGGCCCUCCACAGCCACAGCUGCCCCAGGACGGGCUGCCUGGCCCCGGUGCCCCUGGCCUGAGCCGCCAGGAGAGCCAGGAGCCGCACGGUGCCUGCAGCCCUGCAGGCUCUGGCAGUCUCUCGAUGCUGUGUUCAUUUCAGCUGCUGGCCCGCGCGGAUGUUGGACAAGAGGACUUGGAUGCCGUGUACCAUCUCCAGAGGCUCUUGAAGCAUCCCAGCCAAGCGAUGCACUCACUGGUGCUCCACGUUCUCCUCCCCGUGUCAGAGAGACCUGCAAUGGUGAGCAGGGCACACUUAUGUGAAGGCCGGUGCGCCUUUGUCCUGAAGGUAUCAUGGCCUACUCACGGCCAGCUGGGAGGUCUCUGCUCUGCCUGCAGCUCUGUGGCGCAGAAGAAACGAUCAAGAAAUGGAGGCCAUGGAGGGGCCCAGCGGCUCUCUGGGGAGCUUUCCAUGCGUGCAGGGUUACCAACCCACGUACCUGUUGGGGCUGGUCCGAAAAGGGGACACAGAGUCUUUGCUCAGCUGCCCUCCUUUUCCUACCCUUGCUCCCCUCACAUACGCAAUGGGUGCCCAUGGCCAUUGCCUGUCUGGUGGCUGCUUCCCGGUGCGCUUCUUGUGCUGCCUCUCCACAAGCAAGAUGGGAGCCUGGUGCUCUGGCACCACAGGGUUUUGGCCAGGGUGGCCUUUCAUUGCUUCUCCAAAAGGAAACUGUCCUUCAUACAGGCAAGAAGAAUUCCGGUCCUGCUGCCAGGCAUCAUGGAGGGCCUGCAGGCUGCCAAGGCUGACACCAAGUUGAAGGCCCUGCUUCUCAUCGGAAACGUCAUGGGUCAUGUGAAGAGGAAGCAGGCCAGCUCCAUCGCUCUGCAAGUGGCUGGGGAGAUCCUGCCACUGUUUAACGACGAGUGCAGCCAGGUGCAAGAGCUCUCCAUCUGCCUCUACAACAAAGUGAUGCAGCUUGUGUUACGGUGCCACAGGAGACAGAUGAAGAAGAUCGUGCGGAGGGGCCUGCUCCCACUCUUUUUUCACCUGAGCGACCAGACCCAGAGCGUGGCCAAGGCCUCCGUGGAAGCCCUUGUCACCGCUGCAGACUUCCUGAAGCGGGAAGAACUCAAGCGCCUGGCCCAGACAGAGCAGACCUGGAGGAUCGCAGAGUGCUUGGUAACGACGACGCCCUGGUCCCAGCUCGAUAAUCCUGCCCAGCUUCCCCAGAGCACGCCGCCUAAAGCCGCAUCCUUGCUCCCUUCCCUCCGGCACAGAGCCCAGAGCGCUCCUCUGCAGGCCCCUCUCCCCUCCCCGUCCCCUGGAAGCUGAAGGAGCCCCUGGCCCACCUGGGUCUCAGCAGCAGGACAGAGGGGGCUGAGCACCCCCCAGCCCCCUUGGCCAGCGGCUCUCUCCAAACCUCAGCCCCACAGGGCUGGUGGCUGGGAGAUGGGAACGGCCGGAGGGGAAGGGGGGGCGUUGGCAGGAGGGGGUGGUCUGUCCAGCUGGGCAGGGUCUGCCAGCCCCGUAACCUUGUGCUCUCUCCAGCUCGUGCAGGACAAGAGGAUGGUGGAGGAAUACCUGCAGCAGAGCCUGCCGUACCUGCAGCACACUCAGGUCACCUUGCGCGAGGCAGCCGUGAGGUUCAUCGGUGAGCCACAGCCCCCGGCGUCCCUCUUUUGGCAGCCUUUGGCAGCCCCAGCUUCUGCAGUGCCCAGAGAGUCCCUCCCCGUCCUGGACUGGGUCCCCAGGGGCCCCGUGCCACCCC
ensembl:lncRNA